rnacentral:rRNA from 1 species
AUACGUAGGGUGCAAGCGUUAAUCGGAAUUACUGGGCGUAAAGCGUGCGCAGGCGGUUUUGUAAGACAGAGGUGAAAUCCCCGGGCUCAACCUGGGAACUGCCUUUGUGACUGCAAAGCUAGAGUAAGGCAGAGGGGGAUGGAAUUCCGCGUGUAGCAGGGAAAUGCGUAGAUAUGCGGAGGAACACCGAUGGCGAAGGCAAUCCCCUGGGCCUGUACUGACGCUCAUGCACGAACGCGUGGGGAGCAAACAGGAUUAGAUACCCUGGUAGUCCACGCCCUAAACGAUGUCAACUGGUUGUUGGGUCUUCAUUGACUCAGUAACGAAGCUAACGCGUGAAGUUGACCGCCUGGGGAGUACGGCCGCAAGGUUGAAACUCAAAUGAAUCGACGGGG